UACGGAGGGGGCUAGCGUUGUUCGGAAUUACUGGGCGUAAAGCGCGCGUAGGCGGACCUGCAAGUCGGGGGUGAAAGCCCGAGGCUCAACCUCGGAACUGCCUUCGAUACUGCGGGUCUCGAGUCCGGGAGAGGUGCGUGGAAUUCCUAGUGUAGAGGUGAAAUUCGUAGAUAUUAGGAAGAACACCAGUGGCGAAGGCGGCUCACUGGCCCGGUACUGACGCUGAGGCACGGAAAGCGUGGGG
rnacentral:rRNA from 1 species